GAAGUAAAAGUCGUAACAAGGUUUCGUAGGUGAACCUGCGGAAGGAUCAUU
rnacentral:rRNA from 1 species